rnacentral:lncRNA from 1 species
AAAUAUGAUGGCAGUGAUAUAGACGAAUUUUCUCCAUACGAAAAAUUACUUUAGCAGAUAAAAUUGAUUAUUGAUUAUAUUUAUUAUAUUUUAUUCUUAAAAAUCAAAUACGAACAAUAAAUUAUUUAAGGGUUAAUUGUAUACAACUCCCUGUAAAUAUAGCAAAUAGCAAAUAUAUCCCUACAAAGUUCAACUUUCUUAUCCCUGCAAAAGUCCUAAUAUUAACAAAUAUGCCUCUACCGUUAGGUUUUAUUAGAAAACUAGUGUAGUAACCCGCGCGAUGCAGCAGAUAAAUAAUAGAAGAGAAAAUAAAAAAUAUUGAAGAGAAAGAAGAAAGGAGUUUGGAAAAUAAAAAUUCAAAUAUAUAUAUAUAUAUUUUUUUUGUAGGGAAAUGUAUGAAUUGAAUAAAUCAAUACGACCAUUGAAAAUCGAUAACUGUCCAGAAUCACUAUUCAAAAAAAAACUACGAAGGUCGUAUGAAGAUGGAGAUGAUAAUGUUGCGAUGAUGACGACGACGGCUAUAAAAAUCUCAUGCAAGUUUGCACGAUUUUGCACCCUUUUGGGCAUGGAAUAAUCAGAAGUUGCGGGCCAAAACUGCCACAUCAAUUAUGAAAUCAAAACUAACAUCUAAAUUAAUCAAAGUAAUGCGCAUAAAUCAAAUACUUGAUUGAUAUAACCACCAUAUCAAAAAUAAUGCAAAUUAAUUAAAUUCUAAUU